GGUGCCUCAGACAGCAGCAGCUCCGGAGGCUCCGACAGCGAGGAGGAGGGAGAGGAGGCGCGCAGCGGAGACAAGACUGCCGCCAAGAGUGAGGUACAGGUGCCCAUAGAGAAGCUGAGUGUGUCGGACAGCCCCAAGAAGAAAGAGUCAGGAGCAACACCCCAGCCCUCCCGAGAAACCGCCCCUGCCUCAGCCUCUGAGAACAUCACUGUGACAGACAAGAAAGCUGAAUGGCCCUCAUCAGGAGGGGUGACGCCCAAUGGGCCAGUCUGAACUGGGUAGUGAGAGGAGGGUUGAGGGAGGGGGAGGGGAGGCCCUCUCUUCACCCAGCCCUUCACAGACCCACCACCUCCUCCACCUCCACCACCACCUUUCUCUGUCUGCUUCCGUCUGUCCUCCCCGUGGAAAAACAAAACAAAAGGAAAAGAAACCUUGAUGCCACUGCUGGUGUUUGGCUCAACCACGCGGUCACACCAAUGGGCCUGGACACUGCCAAUCAGCCACUAUCCGUGGAGGAGAGGAGAGGAAGCCGGAGCGCCGUCGUGUGACCCUUUGACCCCUGACCCCCAAUGACCUUC